rnacentral:rRNA from 1 species
UUCCGGUUGAUCCUGCCGGAGGCUACUGCUAUCGGGGUUCGAUUAAGCCAUGCAAGUUAAAUGUUCUUCGUGAACAUAGCGAACUGCUCAGUAACACGUGGAUAACCUACCCUUAGGACCGGAAUAACCCCGGGAAACUGGGGAUAAUACCGGAUAAGCCAUAGGCGCUGGAAUGCCCUAUGGUUCAAAGCUCCGGCGCCUAAGGAUGGAUCUGCGGUCUAUCAGGUUGUAGUGGGUGUAACGUACCUACUAGCCGACGACGGAUACGGGUUGUGAGAGCAAGAGCCCGGAGAUGGAUUCUGAGACACGAAUCCAGGCCCUACGGGGUGCAGCAGGCGCGAACACUUUACAAUGCGGGAAACCGCGAUAAGGGAACCCCGAGUGCCAGCAUCAAAUGUUGGCUGUCCGGAUGAUUAAAAAUCAUUUGUUAGCAAGGGCCGGGCAAGACCGGUGCCAGCCGCCGCGGUAACACCGGCGGCCCGAGUGGUAGCCGUUUUUAUUGGGUCUAAAGGGUCCGUAGCCGGCCUGAUCAGUCCUUUGGGAAAUCUGGCAGCUUAACUGUCAGGCUUCUAAGGGAUACUGUCAGGCUUGGGACCGGAAGAGGUAAGGGGUACUCCAGGGGUAGGAGUGAAAUCUUGUAAUCCCUGGGGGACCAUCUGUGGCGAAGGCGCCUUACCAGAACGGGUCCGACGGUGAGGGACGAAAGCUAGGGGAGCAAACCGGAUUAGAUACCCGGGUAGUCCUAGCUGUAAACGAUGCUCGCUAGGUGUCAGACACGGUGCGACCGUGUUUGGUGCCGCAGGGAAGCCGUUAAGCGAGCCACCUGGGAAGUACGGUCGCAAGGCUGAAACUUAAAGGAAUUGGCGGGGGAGCACUACAACGGGUG